ACCGGUUGUGAAAACAGUUCUGAUGUUCUUCCCUCUCUGAGACCUUGGCGUUGGCUACAAUAAGCGGACAUCGCUAACCCUGUCCGUCCCCCGUCCUUUCUCAGGACGACAGUGACGGUAUCCCGUGGUUAGAGGAACGAGAGGUGAGGAAGGUGCUCUACCUUUCUCUGAAGGAGUUUAAGAACACCCAGAGGAACAAGGUGACAGAUGGCCUCGGCACAGGAAACAUCAACGGCUCUUUCCCACACAGCCAUGGCUGCCGGUCAGGACCAAAGGCAGGAAUACCAACAGUCAACGGUAAAGCUGAGUGCUCACGCUGCUCGUCUCAAAGCAACGAUGGCAGCAGCGAGUAUUCAGGGGACGAUCCAGUCAGAAAGAGACCACGGCUGCAGGCUCAGAGGAAGUUUGCCCAGUCUCAGCCCAGCUCCCCCAGUGCCACACCGAUCAAGCUGUCUGAGACCCUCUUGCCCCCCAGCCCCACCUCUCCCCUCAGCGACCUCACCAGACGCAAGCCCAAGACCGAGGACUUCCUCACCUUCCUCUGUUUACGAGGUGAGUGGCCUGCAACCUUUAGUU